rnacentral:rRNA from 1 species
AGCCUGCUGGAAGUGACGAAGGCCGUAAAUUGUUCCUGCUUAUUGGAUUGCAGGGGCUGUGAAGGACUUCCUGGAAAUAACUCCAGCUUAUAGACCGUACCCCAAACCGACACAGGUGGGCUGGUAGAGUAUACCAAGGCGCUUGAGAGAAUGAUGUUGAAGGAACUCGGCAAAUUGCCCUCGUAACUUCGGAAGAAGAGGGCCCCAUUGAUGGGCAACCAUUGGUGGGGGGCACAGACCAGGGGGUGGCGACUGUUUAACAAAAACACAGGGCUCUGCGAAGUCUGUAAGACGACGUAUAGGGUCUGACGCCUGCCCGGUGCCGGAAGGUUAAGAGGAGGGGUGCAAGCUCUGAAUCGAAGCCCCGGUAAACGGCGGCCGUAACAAUAACGGUCCUAAGGUAGCGAAAUUCCUUGUCGGGUAAGUUCCGACCUGCACGAAUGGCGUAACGACUUCCCCGCUGUCUCCAACAUCAACUCAGCGAAAUUGAAUUCCCCGUGAAGAUGCGGGGUACCCGCGGUCAGACGGAAAGACCCCAUGCACCUUUACUAUAGCUUUGCAGUGGUAUUAGGGAAUGAAUGUGUAGGAUAGGUGGGAGCCUAUGAAGCGCCGGCGCUAGUCGGUGUGGAGGCAACGUUGAAAUACCACCCUUUUGUUCUCUGAUAUCUAACCGCGCCCCUUGAAGCUGGGGCCGGGACCCUGCAUGGUGGGUAGUUUGACUGGGGCGGUCGCCUCCCAAAGAGUAACGGAGGCGCGCGAUGGUAGGCUCAAGCUGGUCGGAAAUCAGCUGUUGAGUGCAAUGGCAUAAGCCUGCCUGACUGCGAGACUGACAAGUCGAGCAGAGACGAAAGUCGGUCAUAGUGAUCCGGUGGUUCCACGUGGGCGGGCCAUCGCUCAACGGAUAAAAGGUACGCUGGGGAUAACAGGCUGAUCUCCCCCAAGAGUCCAUAUCGACGGGGAGGUUUGGCACCUCGAUGUCGGCUCAUCACAUCCUGGGGCUGGGGCAGGUCCCAAGGGUAUGGCUGUUCGCCAUUUAAAGUGGUACGUGAGCUGGGUUCAGAACGUCGUGAGACAGUUCGGUCCCUAUCUGCCGUGGGUGUUGGAGUAUUGAGAGGAUUUGCCCCUAGUACGAGAGGACCGGGGUGAACGCACCUCUGGUGUACCGGUUGUCGCGCCAGCGGCAUCGCCGGGUAGCUAUGUGCGGACGGGAUAACCGCUGAAAGCAUCUAAGCGGGAAACCCACCUCAAAACUAGUACUCCCUAUGAGAGCCGUGAGAGACCAUCACGUUGAUAGGCCUGAUGUGGAAGCGCAGUAAUGCGUGUAGCUAACUGGUACUAAUUGCUCCAUUGGCU